AGUGCGUAAUAGCUCACUGGUCGAGUGAUCCUGCGCCGAAGAUUUCCGGGGCUAAAACUUACUACCGAAGCUACGGCAUCAGUAAUGAUGGGUAGGGGAGCUUCCCAUACGGGUUGAAGCAUGACCGUAAGGACAUGUGGACAGCAUGGGAGUGAGAAUGUUGGCAUGAGUAGCGAGAUGUGGGUGAGAAUCCCACAGGCCGUAAACCCAAGGUUUCCAGGGGAUGGUUCGUCCGCCCUGGGUUAGUCGGGACCUAAGCUGAGGCCGAAAGGCGUAGGUGAUGGACAACAGGUUGAUAUUCCUGUACUACCGAUAACCGUUUGAGAGAAGGGAUGACACAGUAGGAUAAGCUAAGCACACUGUUG
rnacentral:rRNA from 1 species